GUGCCUAAUACAUGCAGUCGAGCGGACCGGAUUGGAGCUUGCUCUGGUUUCGGUCAGCGGCGGACGGGUGAGUAACACGUGGGCAACCUGCCCGCAAGACCGGGAUAACUCCGGGAAACCGGAGCUAAUACCGGAUAACACCGAAGACCGCAUGGUCUUUGGUUGAAAGGCGGCCUUUGGCUGUCACUUGCGGAUGGGCCCGCGGCGCAUUAGCUAGUUGGUGAGGUAACGGCUCACCAAGGCGACGAUGCGUAGCCGGCCUGAGAGGGUGACCGGCCCCACUGGGACUGAAACACGGCCCAGACUCCUAAAAGAGGGAGCAGUAGGGAAUCUUUCGCAAUGGGCGAAAGCCUGACGGAGCGACGCCGCGUGAGCCAAGAAGGCCUUCGGGUCGUAAAGCUCUGUUGUGAGGGACGAAGGGACGCCGUUCGAAGAGGGCGGCGGGGGGACGGUACCUCACGAGAAAGCCCCGGCUAACUACGUGCCAGCAGCCGCGGUAAUACGUAGGGGGCGAGCGUUGUCCGGAAUUAUUGGGCGUAAAACGCGGCGCAGGGGGUCUCUUAAGUCUUGAUGGGAAAGCCCACGGCUCAACCGUGGAGGGUCAUUGGAAACUGGGGGACUUGAGGGCAGGAAAAGAAAGCGGAAUUCCACGUGUAGCGGUGGAAUUGCGUAGAGAUGUGGAGGAACACCAGUGGCGAAGGCGGCUCUCUUGGCCUGGAACUGACGCUGAGGCGCGAAAGCGUGGGGGAGCAAAACAGGAUUAGAUACCUGGUAGUCCACGCCGUAAACGAUGAGUGCUAAGUGUUAGAAGGGUCACACC
rnacentral:rRNA from 1 species